GUGUGGUACCGGCGUGGAUGGGGUGGUGGGAUUGGGGGGGGAGCAUCCCGGUUGUGCUCUCCCCCCACCCCCGGGGUAUGGUGGCCACCGGAGGGGUCCUGGGGCCACCAUCCUUGUGUGAUGCCCCGGGGGCACCCGCAGCCCUGGUGGUGGGGACACCAACCCAUGUGCAACACCAACCCAUGUGCAACACCCCGGGGGCACCCACAGCCCCGGUGGUGGGCACAAGAGGGGUCUUGGGGCUACUAUCCUUGUGCAACACCCCAGGGGCCACCAUCCCCGUGCGAGACCCCCGGGAGCACCUGCAGCCCCGGUGGUGGGGCCACCAUCCCCGUGCAACACCCCAGGGGCACCCACAGCCCCGGUGGUGGGCACAAGAGGGGUCUUGGGGCUACUAUCCUUGUGCAACACCCCAGGGGCCACCAUCCCCGUGCAACACCCCGGGGCCACCAUCCCCGUGCAACACCCCGGGGCCACCAUCCCCGUGCAACACCCCCGGGGCACCAGCAGCCCCAGUGGUGGGGCCACCAUCCCCGUGCGAUGCCCCGGGAGCACCUGCAGUCCCGGUGGUGGGGCCACCAACUCAUGUGCAACACCCUGGGGGCACCAUCCCCGUGCAACACCCCGAGGGCACCCACAGCCACGACGGUGGGCACCGGAGGGGUCCUGGGGCCACCAUCCCCGUGCAACACCCCAAGGGCAUCCGCAGCCCCGGUGGUGGGCACCAGAGGGGUCUUGGGGCCACCAUCCCUGUGCAACACCCUGAGGGCACCCACAGCUCCGGUGGUGAGCACCAGAGGGGUCCUGGGGCCACCAUGCAACACCCUGGGGGCACCAUCCCCGUGCAACACCCCGAGGGCACCCACAGCCACGACGGUGGGCACCGGAGGGGUCCUGGGGCCACCAUCCCUGUGCAACACCCUGGGGGCACCCACAGCCCCGGUGGUGGGCACUGGAGGGGUCCUGGGGCCACCAUCCUCGUGCGACACCAUGGGGGCACCCGCAGUCCUGAUGGUGGGCACCGGAGGGGUCCUGGGGCUACUGUCCCCGUGCGACACCCCAAGGGCACCCGCAGCCCUGGUGGUGGGGCCACCAUCCCCGUGCAACGCCCUGGGGGCACCCGCAACCCCGGUGGUGGGGCCAUCAUCCCCGUGCAACACCCCAGGGGCUACUGUCCCCAUGCAACACCACGGGGGCACCAGCAGCCCCG
rnacentral:lncRNA from 1 species